UACGUUUAGUUGCUAACGCGUGAAGGCGAGCACUCUAGACGAACUGCCGUUGACAAACGGAGGAAGUGGGAUGACGUCAAUCAUCAUGCCCCUUAUGUUCUGGGCUACACACGUGCUACAAUGGCCGGUACAGACGGACGCAAAGCCGCGAGGUGGAGCAAAUCCUAAAAAGCCGGUCUCAGUUCGGAUUGCAGGCUGCAAUUCGCCUGUAUGAAGUCGGAAUCGCUAGUAAUCGCAGGUCAGCAUACUGCGGUGAAUACGUUCUCGGGUUU
rnacentral:rRNA from 1 species